rnacentral:rRNA from 1 species
CAGUCGCCGCGGGAAUACGGAGGGUGCAAGCGUUAAUCGGAAUUACUGGGCGUAAAGCGCACGCAGGCGGUUUGUUAAGUCAGUUGUGAAAUCCCCGAGCUUAACUUGGGAACUGCAUUUGAAACUGGCAAGCUAGAGUCUUGUAGAGGGGGGUAGAAUUCCAGGUGUAGCGGUGAAAUGCGUAGAGAUCUGGAGGAAUACCGGUGGCGAAGGCGGCCCCCUGGACAAAGACUGACGCUCAGGUGCGAAAGCGUGGGGAGCAAACAGGAUUAGAUACCCCGGUAGUCCCUGUCUCUUAUAC